rnacentral:rRNA from 1 species
UACGGAGGGUGCAAGCAUUAAUCGGAUUUAUUGGGCGUAAAGGGGGCGUAGGCGGGAAUGCAAGCAAGACGUGAAAUCCCGGGGCUCAACCCCGGAACUGCAUUUUGAACUGCAUUUCUAAGAGGAUAGGCGGAGAAAACGGAAUACCACAUGUAGCGGUGAAAUGCGUAGAUAUGUGGUAGAACACCGGUGGCGAAGGCGGUUUUCUAGCUUAUUCCUGACGCUGAGGCCCGAAAGCUAGGGGAGCAAA